GAUGAACGCUGGCGGCGUGCCUAAUACAUGCAAGUCGAGCGAACGGACGAGAAGCUUGCUUCUCUGAUGUUAGCGGCGGACGGGUGAGUAACACGUGGAUAACCUACCUAUAAGACUGGGAUAACUUCGGGAAACCGGAGCUAAUACCGGAUAAUAUUUUGAACCGCAUGGUUCAAAAGUGAAAGACGGUCUUGCUGUCACUUAUAGAUGGAUCCGCGCUGCAUUAGCUAGUUGGUAAGGUAACGGCUUACCAAGGCAACGAUGCAUAGCCGACCUGAGAGGGUGAUCGGCCACACUGGAACUGAGACACGGUCCAGACUCCUACGGGAGGCAGCAGUAGGGAAUCUUCCGCAAUGGGCGAAAGCCCGACGGAGCAACGCCGCGUGAGUGAUGAAGGUCUUCGGAUCGUAAAACUCUGUUAUUAGGGAAGAACAUAUGUGUAAGUAACUGUGCACAUCUUGACGGUACCUAACCAGAAAGCCACGGCUAACUACGUG
rnacentral:rRNA from 1 species